rnacentral:rRNA from 1 species
AUUGAACGCUGGCGGCAGGCCUAACACAUGCAAGUCGAACGAGUGGCGGACGGGUGAGUAAUGUCUGGUAAAAUGCAUGAUGGAGGGGGAUAACUACUGGAAACGGUAGCUAAUACCGCAUCCCAUCGGAUGUGCCCAGAUGGGAGUAGCUUGGAGGUGGGGUAAAGGCUCACCUAGGCGACGAUCCCUAGCUGGUCGGAGAGGAUGACCAUCCAAACUGGAACUGAGACACGGUCCAGCCUCCUACGGGAGGCAGCAGUAGGUAAUAUUGAACAAGGGGCGCAAGCCGGAUGCAGCCCUGCCGCGAGUAUGAAGAAGGCCUUCGGGUUGUAAAGUACUUUCAGCGGGGAGGCGUUACCCGCAGAAGAAGCACCGGCUAACUCCGUGCCAGCAGCCGCGGUAAUAC